UACGAGGUAUGCAAGCGUUAUCCGGAAUUAUUGGGCGUAAAGCGUUUGUAGGCGGGCGAGUGUGUUUAAUGUUAAAUCUUAAAGCUCAACUUUGAAAUUGCGUUAAAAACUGCUUGUCUUGAGUAUGGUAGGGGUAAAGGGAAUUCCCAGUGUAGCGGUGAAAUGCGUAGAUAUUGGGAAGAACACUAAACAGCGAAGGCACUUUACUAGGCUAAUACUGACGCUGAGAAACGAAAGGUAAGGUAGCGAAACGGAUUAGAUACCCGUGUAGUCUUACCCGUAAACUAUGGACACUAAACGGUAAAUUUUUAAUUUACUGUUAAAGCUAACGCGUUAAGUGUCCCGCCUGGGGAGUAUGCUUGCAAAAGUGAAACUCAAAGGAAUUGACGGGGGCCCGCACAAGCGGUGGAGCAUGUGGUUUAAUUCGACGGUACACGAAGAACCUUACCAGGAUUUGACAUGCUAGAUAGUUGCUUGAAAGAGUAACGUGCCGUAAGGAAUCUAGACACAGGUGGUGCAUGGCUGUCGUCAGUUCGUGUUGUGAAAUGUUGGGUUAAGUCCCGCAACGAACGCAACCCUUGUCUUUAGUUAUUUUCUAAAGAGACUGCCUGUAAUAAACAGGAGGAAGGUAAGGAUGAGGUCAAGUCAUCAUGCCCCUUAUGUCCUGGGCUACACACGUGCUACAAUGGGAAAGACAAUGAGCUGCAAAUCUGUAAAUUUAAGCAAAUCUCUUAAACUUUCUCGUAGUUCGGAUUGUGGGCUGCAACUCGCCCACAUGAAGUUGGAAUCGCUAGUAAUCGCCAGUCAGCUAUAUGGCGGUGAAUCCGUUCCCGGGCCU
rnacentral:rRNA from 1 species